CCUACGUGUGGCAGCAGUGGGGAAUAUUGGGCAAUGGGCGCAAGCCUGACCCAGCAACGCCGCGUGAAGGAAGAAGGCCCUCGGGUUGUAAACUUCUUUUAACAGGGACGAAGAAAGUGACGGUCCCUGUUGAUUACGCCACGGCUAACUACGUGCCAGCAGCCGCGGUAUUACGUAGGUGGCAAGCGUUAUCCGGAUUUACUGGGUGUAAGGGGCGUGUAGGCGGGAGAGCAAGUCAGACGUGAAAUUCCAGGGCUCAACCCUGGAACUGCGUUUGAAACUGUUCUUCUUGAGUGAUGGAGAGGCAGGCGGAAUUCCGUGUGUAGCGGUGAAAUGCGUAGAUAUACGGAGGAACACCAGUGGCGAAGGCGGCCUGCUGGACAUUAACUGACGCUGAGGCGCGAAAGCGUGGGGAGCAAACAGGAUUAGAUACCCGUGUAGUC
rnacentral:rRNA from 1 species